rnacentral:rRNA from 1 species
AGUAGGGCGGGACACGUGGUAUCCUGUCUGAAUAUGGGGGGACCAUCCUCCAAGGCUAAAUACUCCUGACUGACCGAUAGUGAACCAGUACCGUGAGGGAAAGGCGAAAAGAACCCCGGCGAGGGGAGUGAAAAAGAACCUGAAACCGUGUACGUACAAGCAGUGGGAGCACGCUUAGGCGUGUGACUGCGUACCUUUUGUAUAAUGGGUCAGCGACUUAUAUUCUGUAGCAAGGUUAACCGAAUAGGGGAGCCGAAGGGAAACCGAGUCUUAACUGGGCGUUAAGUUGCAGGGUAUAGACCCGAAACCCGGUGAUCUAGCCAUGGGCAGGUUGAAGGUUGGGUAACACUAACUGGAGGACCGAACCGACUAAUGUUGAAAAAUUAGCGGAUGACUUGUGGCUGGGGGUGAAAGGCCAAUCAAACCGGGAGAUAGCUGGUUCUCCCCGAAAGCUAUUUAGGUAGCGCCUCGUGAAUUCAUCUCCGGGGGUAGAGCACUGUUUCGGCAAGGGGGUCAUCCCGACUUACCAACCCGAUGCAAACUGCGAAUACCGGAGAAUGUUAUCACGGGAGACACACGGCGGGUGCUAACGUCCGUCGUGAAGAGGGAAACAACCCAGACCGCCAGCUAAGGUCCCAAAGUCAUGGUUAAGUGGGAAACGAUGUGGGAAGGCCCAGACAGCCAGGAUGUUGGCUUAGAAGCAGCCAUCAUUUAAAGAAAGCGUAAUAGCUCACUGGUCGAGUCGGCCUGCGCGGAAGAUGUAACGGGGCUAAACCAUGCACCGAAGCUGCGGCAGCGACGCUUAUGCGUUGUUGGGUAGGGGAGCGUUCUGUAAGCCUGCGAAGGUGUGCUGUGAGGCAUGCUGGAGGUAUCAGAAGUGCGAAUGCUGACAUAAGUAACGAUAAAGCGGGUGAAAAGCCCGCUCGCCGGAAGACCAAGGGUUCCUGUCCAACGUUAAUCGGGGCAGGGUGAGUCGACCCCUAAGGCGAGGCCGAAAGGCGUAGUCGAUGGGAAACAGGUUAAUAUUCCUGUACUUGGUGUUACUGCGAAGGGGGGACGGAGAAGGCUAUGUUGGCCGGGCGACGGUUGUCCCGGUUUAAGCGUGUAGGCUGGU